CACAUCGACAAUUGGAGAACGUGUUGGACUGGGGCCGGCUUUCUGUUUCCAGCCAAUGAAAUGAAACGAGGGGAGUUCUGCCUUUGGGCCUCGUCCUUCCUUCGUUCAGAAGAAAGAAAAGGGGAGAUGAACCUUGAGCCCCACGCACCUUUCUUUCCCGAGCACGCAACCUCUCCUCCCUUUUUCAGAAAAACACCAUCCUUCGACCUGGAUCGGCUCACGCGACCGUCGGGCCAUGUCGCCGCCGACGCCGACGCCUGCCAGCGGCGGCAGGCUGGAUCUGGACGGCGUGCUCGUAGCGCUGCUCACCAUCUGUGUGAUCUGGGCCGACGGGUUCAUCUCCUCCCACGUCUGUGAGAAGCUCAUGGCCGAAACCCCGCACUCCGUCCUCGCCGUCGACCACCUCGUCGACCCACCCCCGCCCCACCUCGCCGGCGGCAUCUCUUCCGCUGCCUCAACCUCAUGAACAACUCCCGCCUGGAGGGCCUCAUCAAGAUGUCCGAUCUGGUUUGGAUAGUGGGAGAAAAAUUGGGUGAAGGCAUUGGUAGUACAAGGAAAGAAGUACAACAUCAGGCUGCAGAAAUAUCUUUAAGAAAUUUGGCAAGAGAUUAUGGAGUGUAAUUCUUCAGAUGUACAAAUGUCACAUUGUGCUGAGGGUUCCGAGACUACAAUAGAGACCAAAAUCAAGACUUUGGAUUCUCAAACAUACAAUUUGCAUGUGAAUAAAUGUAUAAGGUCAAGCAAUCAAGGUGAAGUUGGGGUAUGCAAGUACACCGUGGGAGGAUACAUCUGUGAGAUGUAUUUAUAAAACCUUCUCGUGUCUUGUCUUCAUUUUCUAAUUUAACCCUUCUAUGGUUAACCAUAAUUAACCAUUGAAUUAUUCCAUGGCAUUUCCAUAUUUUUGUUGCAAUUUAUGUUCUGAAGCGAAUGCUGCCACUCUUUAUUGCUGUUUCUCGACAUAUGAUUCUUGUAUGUAAGUUUUUAGUUCAAUGUAACAUGUUAACGGAUGCCUUAAGUUUGCUCGUAUAGCAUAUGCUUUCAUAUUUUGAUUUGAUAUUCAGUAGAUCAAAUUUGUUGUAUCUAUAUCAGGUAUAUCUUCUUGUUAUGCUAAUCUAGCAUGGCACAUUUCGUAAAUGAUUUCCCAUUUGUUUCUACUACUUCUGUUUUGAUGUAGCUUUUCAGUUGUUCAUGUGCGCCAUUUAUGAUCAGGGAUGCUCGAGUCAUGUGGGAUAAUAAAACCGGACACUCCAGAGGUUAUGGCUUUGUCUUAUUCUGCAGUCAGCAGGCACUGGACAGGUUUAAUACAGCAGUUGUGUCACCAAUAUAUUACGUGAUGUUUACUUUGUUAUGCUUGUUCUUGAUAAGAAAAUCAAGCAUUUGGCAUCUAUUGCAAUCUGGAGAUGAUCCAUAUGUGGCCUAAUUUUCUACUACUGAAUCACAAUGCUAUGUUGUGAUUACUGGCAGCAAGAGUCAGCAUGACCGCUCAUUCUUGUAGGGUGGUUCGGAGGGCACCCGAAGAGAGAUCGUAUCAUAUUUCCUAUCAGUUGUUCUCUGGAUCUUCUCCCCUUCACAUAAGUAACCACACAUUCAUAUGAAGGAAUUCAUAUCUCUUACAUAUCAUUGCAUCUCACACAUAUAUAAUUACUUGAGCCAGGGUUCUUGCUUGAGAAUUGAUGGUGUUGAUGAUGCCAAAGGAUUUUCAUCAUUAUUGGUAAUGUUGCUACAAAUCAACCACAACUUUGAAUAGUAUUGAUAUAUACAGUUCGGCCUCUUCUCUGUAGACUUUAAAGGAUGGAGAAAAAAGAAUGCUCUAUGAUCAGGUGGUGGUUGCACACUAUGGGGGACAGUGUCCAAGAGAGGGCUCGGAGAUGGUUAGAGGCGGUGCAAGGUCUAACAUGAUUGUGCUGAUGCUCUCUCCUUUGUAGAGGACCAUCCCGAUGUCUGGGUUUCGGCAUGGUGGUGAGGUGCCUGAGGUCACGGCUCUGAGUCAGGAACCUCUUAUUGAGCGUGCCAGUACUUCAUGGUGGUGACGUAUGUCUCGAUGAUAGUCCAGUUUGAUAAAAUGCCAAUAGGAGCAGGUCUGUGAAGCCAAUAUGAGCCGGUCAGUAAACUAGUGAUGCAGUCUCACUGUUCAUCGUCUCUAGACGCACCUAUAUGAUCCAUGUAUCUAGUUUCUCUCCAAAACUUGUGAUGCCUGCGUUGUGAUGAUCCGAGGAACUCUGCCUCUAUUUUGGAGAUCGCCCAUCUUUUGGAGACCGCUGAACUUUGAUUUGAACCGAUGAAUGUGUCUUUGUGAUCAGUCAUCCACUUUGUAAGAUUGUCAAAUCUCUGUUAAGCUAUCAGCAUAGAUGAAACUACUUGCUUGCUCUGCUUUAUGAAUGAACACUCUUCUACUGCAG
rnacentral:rRNA from 1 species